GCGGCUGGCAGUUGGAAUCUUCAUUUCUGGACUUGUCUUUGAGGAUGAAGAUUUUAUAGUGCCAUGGAAAGGUCAUCAUGAUAACUUGGAGAGGUAUGCAUUGCAGUGGGAGUCUGAGAAUUUGAUUGCAUUGAGCACUGCAAUAAAGGACUGGCUUGCUUCAAAAAUUGCUAUGCAGUUGAUGACUGAAGGUGCCAUGUUGACUGUAUUAAGCAGUCUUUUAACAGCCCUGGCCUUACCAGCAGCUCUACUGGCUGCAACUGAUCUCAUAGACAGUAAAUGGGCGAUUGCAGUUGACAGAGCUGAUAAAGCUGGAAAGCUGCUUGCUGAGGUGUUGCUAAAGGGAUUGCAAGGGAGCAGACCUGUAACACUCAUAGGUU
rnacentral:misc_RNA from 1 species